rnacentral:rRNA from 1 species
GGGCUCACACAAGCGGUGGAGGAUGUGGCUUAAUUCGAGGCUACGCGAAGAACCUUACCUAGACUUAACAUGUUUGAGAAUCUCUGUGAAAGCAGAGAGUGCCUUUCGGGGAACUCUUACGUAGGUGCUGCAUGGCUGUCGUCAGCUCGUGUCGUGAGAUGUCGGGUUAAGUCCCUUAACGAGCGAAACCCUUAUCUUCAGUUGCCAGCGAGUAAUGUCGGGGACUCUGGAGAGACUGCCGGUGUUAAACCGGAGGAAGGUGGGGAUGACGUCAAGUCCUCAUGGCCUUUAUGUCUAGGGGCUGCACACGUCCUACAAUGCAACGUACAAAGCGACGCGAAAUCGCGAGAUCAAGCAAACCGCACAAAACGUUGCCCAGUUCGGAUUGGAGUCUGCAACUCGACUCCAUG